rnacentral:lncRNA from 1 species
ACUAGCUGUGACCGAGCUCAUGCGGAUAAAGACAUUCUUACCUGAUGCUGACUCAAGGAUUGAUGUAGAAAGAAUCUGCAUUUUGGUCCGGGAGGUACGAGAGCUUGCCUAUGAUGCUGAGCAUGCUGUCGAAAGUUUUGUCAUUAAAGCCUCAUCCACUAAAAAACCAUUUCAGUGGAUGAACAGAGUCAAGUUUUCAGGAAAGAUGAAAGAUAUACAAAAAAAGAUGUCCCUCCUCUUCAAUCUAUUUUCUGAUUAUAAUAUCAGACCAAUUUCAGAAUCAUCAACUUCCUCCAACAGAGGACCGGGAAAGCUAAAGCGAUUUUACUCUUUCACUACUCCUGAACCAGAGAUAUUUGUUGGAUUUCACGAGGACGUUGAAUGCUUGGUGCGACAUUUGGUGAAUGAAGCUGAUGAUUCUUACCCACUGAUAUCUAUUUGUGGAAUGGGGGGUCUGGGAAAGACCACUCUAGCUCAAAAGAUAUACAAUCACUCUGCCAUCAAGACUAGAUUUGCUGGUUUAGCAUGGGUAUCAAUCUCCCGAAAGUGGCAAACAGAUCGUGUGUUGCAGAGAAUUCUCAUAUGUCUCGUCCCUGAGAACAAAGAUUCUAUCCUUAAUAUGGACACUGACAAGCUAGUGGAGUAUAUGCUACAAAUCCAGGAAAGGAAGAAAUGUUUGAUAGUUCUCGAUGAUAUAUGGUCAACUGAUGCUUGGGAUGCAUUAAAAGGUGCGNAGAAAUGUUUGAUAGUUCUCGAUGAUAUAUGGUCAACUGAUGCUUGGGAUGCAUUAAAAGGUGCGUUUCCAGCCGGGAAGUCCAUAAGCAAAUUAAUGCUUACAAGCCGUAAUGCUGAGGUUGCUGAGCAUGUAAAUUUAAACGGACUCAUUCACCAGCCAGAAUGUCUAAGUCCAGAACAAAGUUGGGAGCUACUCAAGUUGAAAGCACUUCACACAGGAAACUGCCUAGGUACAUAAGUUUAUUGCGUUAAUUAGAGUUCAUGUAUUUUUUUAACCAUAUGUUUUGAUCGGCAACCUUAACGAACAACAUUUUUUGUUACUUAGUGUGAUAAGUUUGGUUAGAAAUUUGUCAGUAACCUUAAAGAACAUUGUUAUGUUCAAUAACAUUUUGUUCGUGUUCGCACGUUUGAAUUCAGCUCAUUUACAAACCUAUGUAUUAGAAUUGUAAACGAAUCUUACAGUUCAUUAACUGCGGUCUUGAGGUUGAGUUAAUGAGGUCGAGUUCGAACCAUAUAUAUUUUGUUUAAUAACCUUAACGAACUGUAUGGGGUUCAAUAAUUUUUAUUUUCUACUAAAUUUCGGUUCAGUAAAUUUUUCUUGUGUUGACUCGAAGUUUAUCCGAGUUAAGUUCGUUUAGGGCUCUAACUUGAACUUGUCUUUUUAACAUAGUAGUUUAUUUAUAUAUAAUUAAAAUAUAUAAAUGUUGACAUCCAUACGGUUGGAUCGAUGAAAAAUAUUUUUAAAAUUAAAUGAGGACUAAAUACUAGUUAGUGGUACUAAUCAAACUAAUGCUUGACUAAUAAAAUAAAAAACCAAAUAAAAUUAUUUUUUCGUAACUUUGGUUACACCAUAUUUAGUUAAUAUUCUCUUUAUCGAUUUGAUAUAUUAUAUGUAGAAUUUUUGGUUCAACAACAUGUAUAUAUUAUAAAAAAUCUGAAAAUAUUACAUUGUUUGGAGUUAUAACGAGCCGAACUCGAGCCGAACGAGUUCGGACUCGGUUGGCUCGAGUUCUUAACGAAUCGAGCCAAACCGAGCUUUUAUCGAGCCGAGCUCGAGCUUGUUCGUGAACAGCCCUAUGUAUGUACACUUAUGAUUCCAGUUUCUUGUGUAUUGCAGACAUUACCAGAGAUGUAAAUAGGAUGGAAGAACUGGGAAGGGAAAUGGUUGAAUACUGUGCCGGUCUUCCGCUAGCUAUAGUCAUUUUGGGUGGAAUUCUUGUAACAAAACCGUCGCUGAUAGAGUGGGAGAAGGUAUAUCGUGAUAGUAAAUCAUCCCUGAAGGCGGGGAAAGGAUUGGGAGAAGCCUAUCAAAGGGAAAUAUUAAGCUUUUUGGUUUGGAGCUACAAUGAUUUACCCCCUCAACUGAAGCCAUGCUUUCUAUAUUUAUCUAAGUUUGGUGAAGAUAAAUGUAUAAAAGUAAGAACUUUGUAUCAGCUAUGGAUCGCUGAAGGCAUGGUACUCUCAAGUGACAAAAGAAAGGGAGAAACAAUGACACAAGUGGCCGAAUCAUACAUGGGAGAAUUGGUCCAAAGGAGUAUGGUUCAAGUGACAUUUAACAAUGUGGAAUCAUCACUUACAAAGUUUAAAGAUUGUUCUCUGCACGAUCUUAUGAGAGACAUGUCUUUAAUACAAGCAAAAGCAGAAGAUUUUUUUGAAGUAAUACAUUUCCAAAGUGGAAAUGAGUUUCAUCUCAAAUCUGCAGAUUCAAGGUCAGCUUACACUCGACUUGUGAUUCAUUUGGAUGAGGAAUAUUCUAGCAAAAAAGCUAAUUACUACUUUUCUAAGAAAGGCAAUCAAAAAAUCUAUCGAUCAAUGUUAUUCAUUGGAGACUUUGGUCGAAGAAGUUUGCCACGGGCAUUGGGGUCACAUGUUGGCAAUUUUAGGUUCCUGAAAGUGUUCUCUGUGGAGAAUUAUACCAAAUUUUCUGGUGCAUCUUCUCAUAUUAAUUUUGGAAGAGCAUUAGGGGGCCUUGUUUACUUGCGAUAUCUUAGUGUAAGGGGCAGUAAUUUGUUGGUUUUUCCAUCUCUACAAAAGUUAGUGCUAUUACAAACUCUCAAAUUUGAUAUGUUGAACAAGAUAUAUGUUUUACCAUGGUUGUCAAGAGAUGUUUUGCUCAAGCUGGAUUGUUUGCGGCAUCUGUAUUUGCCUAAAUUUCAAGUUGACGUUAUGGGAAGGAAAUCAAAAUUUCGGUUUAAUGGGUUGAGCAAGUUAGAGACACUUGAGAACUUUCACACUAGUUGGUGUGAGGUUAAGGAUCUACGUGAACUGAUCCAUCUUCGGAAACUAAUGCUAACAGUGAGAGGUAGCUUUGAUAUUCUGGAGGAAAUGAUGAAAAACUUGGUUUAUAUAGCCUCCUCACCAUCUUCAUGUCUGAGGUAUUUGGGUGUUUGUAUUGUUGAUUGUGAUAUCGAGCUGAACAAUGGUCUUACUAUCUUGAAACAGUUGGUAUAUGCUGAAAAUUUGAACCUUCGGGAAUUGAUAAUAUAUGGGAGUAUCCCGGAGGUGGGUCUAAUAUUUCCGCUGCGAUAUGUUGGGGAUAAUAAUGCUCAUGUAUCUACAGUUCAUAUUAUAAGUUUAAAUUUAUGGGAAUCAUAUCUGGAAGAAGACCCAAUGCCAAUACUGGAAAUGCUUCCAAUGUUGGGUGCUCUCCGUAUAUUUACGCAUGCAUAUGUGGGGAAGGAGAUGGUAUGCUCCGCAACCGGUUUUCCUAAACUCGUCACUCUUAUUUUGGACAGCUUCCCGAACCUUGAGAAAUGGAGGGUGGAGAAAGGAAGCAUGCCCAUCCUUUCAUGGUUGCGUAUUGAAAGAUGCAACAAGUUGGAAGAGCUCCCAGAAGGCCUAGUGUUCCUCGAGUCCCUUGAAGUACUAAAAAUAUUCCGAAUGUCUCAAGAUUUCAAUGUUAGGCUUAUAAGAGAUGAUGGUGAACAAGGACCCGACUUUCACAAGAUCUCUCACGUCCCUACAAUCAUUAUCGACGAUCAGGAAUACAAUUGAAUGUUUUUGUAGUUUGUAACUUUUUUGUUUUUGUCCUCAAGAACAGAUUUUCUUGAUAUUUGUCACAUAAAAUAUAUAAGAUAUGAGAUCAUUUUGUGUUCCUCUCUAUCUAACAAAACAGCUCAUAGAGCUUGAGUGACUCUUAUAUGGCUAUACCACAAGAAGCCUAUCACAAGAACUCUGCAUCCCAUUCUUAAUGAGUUGUUUGAUAUUUAACACUUAGAAAAAAUUUCAGUUGAACUGCAUGGAGCCAGCUGAUUAAUACAACUAUUAAUUCAUUAUUUAAUUCCUAAAUAAAUAACAAUCAUCUAUCUGUCUACUUAUAUAUUUAAAUGAUAAUCAGGACGACAAAAAGAGUCAGAAAUUAGUUCCGGCUAGCUCCAGUAAACUUGGCUCAACUUAUCUAUUGUGCUAGGAAUGCAAACUCAGAUCUAUAACUAAUACUAACUAAAAUUACUGCAAGUAUAAGCUUUGCUUUGGCAAAGGGGAAUAAUAAUAGUGAACAAUUAUAGAGAAUCUGAUGAUGUGCAGAAGAAACAUGUAUAAGCUGCUCGAUCUCUUAUUCUACUGAUAUUUUAAUACGCAAGUAGAGUUAUUAAUUGAUAAUGUUUUGCUUAUGCCGAGUCAUUUCAUGAUUGUUUAGUAAUUAGUUGUACAACUAUGAGCUGGUCGGUUGUCUGCAUUAUAAGCUUUCAUGGAGGCAGGUUGAUCCGGGAGACUUGUGCGAUGAGAACAGAGGGAACUAUCUUAUUACACUUUCAUUGAUCGUAUCAGGAAAGAGUUCAAGUAUACCAGAAGUAUAUUCUACGUCUAAGCAAAAAUCUUUCAACACAAGUUUAUUCAAUUAACAACAGUCAUAAGCUGUAAGAUCAAUGAUAGACCGCAAGCAAAUGCUUUUUAACAAAAACGUUACCAACAUCGCAUUGCAACAAUAAAUAACAAUGAUAGAAGCGACCGAAAGCAAAUACAAUCCAACAAAAUAACAUCAGCUUCGCAUUGCAAGGUUAUGCAAUUUGAACUUAAGAUCUCUCCAUUAAAUAACAAGCUCUGUACCUUUUGAAAUCAUUUAAUAAUAUCACAUAGAAAAUCUGUAACUUCCCUAUUCUUUGACCGACCUCACCAUGUGUCACAGAACCCAUAGCAACAUCAUAAACAAAUGCUGCUGUACAGUAACAUGGAAUUUAACUAUGACCAGAGAAGCAACAGAGAAUCCAAUGUGCUGAAGACACAUUUAAGCCUAUUCAAAUUUAUAUAAACUUGUUUGGUUUCUGCAGAAGAAUAAGUUAAACAAAUUAAUAAGACCGAAGCAAUUGUGUCGAUUGUUGUGGGAAGGCUCACUGAUUUGUUGAUUGAAAAAGCUCAAAUCCUUCAUGUAGUGAGAGAUGAAAGUCAACUAGCCGUGACUGAGCUUAUGCGGAUAAAGACAUUCUUACCAGAUGCUGACUCAAGGAUUGAUGUAGAAACAAUCCGCAUUUUGGUCCGGGAGGUACGAGAGCUUGCCUAUGAUGCUGAACAUGCUGUCGAAAGUUUUGUUAUUAAAGCCUCAUCCACUAAAAAACCAUUUCAGUGGAUGAACAGAGUCAAGUUUUCAAGGAAGAUGAAAGAUAUACAAAAAAAGAUGUCCAUCUUCUUCGAUUUAUUUUCUGAUUAUAAUAUCAGUCCAACUUCUGAAUCAUCAACUUCCUCCAACAGAGAAUCGGGAAAACUAAAGCGAUUUCACUCUUUCACUACUCCUGAACCAGAGAUAUUUGUUGGAUUUCAUGAAGACGUUGAAUGCUUGGUGCGGCAUUUGCUGAAUGAAACUCAUAAUUCUUACCCACUUCUAUCUAUUUGUGGAAUGGGGGGUCUGGGAAAGACCACUCUAGCUCAAAAGGUAUACAAUCACUCUGCCAUCAAGACUCACUUUGCUGGUUUAGCAUGGGUAUCAAUCUCCCGAAAGUGGCAAACAGAUCGUGUGUUGCAGAGAAUUCUUAUAUGUCUCGUCCCUGAGAACAGAAACUCUAUCCUUAAUAUGGACACUGACAAGCUAGUGGAGUAUAUGCUACAAAUCCAAGAAAGGAAAAAAUGUUUGAUAGUUCUCGAUGAUAUAUGGUCAAGUCAAGCUUGGGAUGCAUUAAAAGCUGCAUUUCCAGCCGGGAAGUCCAUAAGCAAAUUAAUGCUUACAAGCCGUAAUGCUGAGGUUGCUGAGCAUGUAAAUUUAAACGGAUUCAUUCACCAGCCAGAAUGUCUAGGUCCAGAACAAAGUUGAGAGCUACUAAAGUUGAAAGCACUUCACACAGGGAAUUGUCUAGGUAAAUAAUUUUACUUAUGGUUCAUAUACUUUUUUUUUUAUAAUAUGUUUUGUCCGACAACCUUAUAAACAAUAGAACCAUAUUUUUUGUUAAUUGAGUUCGAUAAGUGUGAUUAUAGAUCUGUCUGACAACCUUAAAGAACACUGUUCUGUUCAAUAACAUUUUGUUCAUGUUCGUUUGAAUUCGAUAGUUUGUUUACAAACCUAUGAAGUAGAAUUGUAAACGAAUCUAAUUAGGUGCCCUCUUGAGGUUGAUUUAACGAACUCGAGUUUGAAACCACAUAUUUUGUUUAACAACCUUAACGAAAUUUAUGGGGUUCAGUAAUUUUUGGUCGUGUUGGCUCAAAGUUUAUCUGAGUUAAGUUCUUUUAGGGCUCUAACUUGAACGUGUCGUUUAAACAUUUGCAUUAGUUGAACGACUAAAUUGAAUAUUAUCUUGGCUUAUGUGUGUGUGUCUAUAUAUAUACACACAUAUGAUUCCCGUUUCUUGUGUGUUGCAGACAUUACCAGAGAUGUAAAAAGGAUGGAAGAACUGGGAAGGGAAAUGGUUGAACAUUGUGCCGGUCUUCCGCUGGCUAUAGUCGUUUUGGGUGGAGUUCUUGUAACAAAACCGUCGUUGAUAGAGUGGGAGAAAGUUUAUCGUGAUAGUAAAUCAUCCCUGAAGGCAGGGAAAGGACCGGGAGAAGCCUAUCAAAGAGAAAUAUUAAGUUUUUUAGUUUGGAGCUACAAUGAUUUACCCCCUCAGCUCAAGCCAUGCUUUUUAUAUUUAUCAAAGUUUGGUGAAGAUAAAUGGAUAAAAUUGGAGACUUUGUAUCAGCUAUGGAUCGCUGAAGGAAUGAUACUCUCGAGUGACAAGAGGGAAGGAGAAACAAUGAUACAAGUGGCUGAAUCAUACAUGGGAGAACUAGUCCACAGGAAUAUGGUUCAAGUGAGAUUUAACGAUGUAGAAUCAUCGCUUACAAAGUUUGAAUCUUGUUCUCUGCACGAUCUUAUGAGAGACAUGUCUUUAAUACAAGCAAAAGCAGAAGAUUUUUUUGAAGUAAUACAUUUCCAAAGUGGAAAUGAGUUUCAUCUCAAAUCUACUACAGAGUCAAGGUCAGCUUCCACUCGAGUUGUGAUUCGUUUGGAUGAGGAAUAUUCUAGCAAAGAAGCUAAUUACUACUUUACCAAGAAACGCAAUGAAGAAUGCUAUCGAUCAAUUUUACUCCUGGGUAAGUUUGGAGCAAGAAGUUUGCCACAGGCGCUGGGUUCACAUGUUGCCAAUUUUAGGUUCCUAAAAGUCUUUUCUGUGGAGCACUAUACCAAUUUUUCUGGAGCAUUUUCUCAUAUUAAUUUUGGAAGAGCAGUAGGGUCCCUUGUUUACUUGCGAUAUCUCAGUGUAAGGGACACUAAUUUGUUGAUUUUUCCAUCUCUACAAAAGUUGGUGCUAUUACAAACUCUAAAAUUGGAUACCGACAAGAUAUAUGUUUUACCAUGGCUGUCAAGAGAUGUUCUGGUGAAGAUGGAUUGUUUGCGGCAUUUGUAUUUGCCGAAAUUUAAAGUUGACGUUUUGGGAAGGAAAUCGAAAUUACGGUUUAAUGGGUUGAGCAAGUUAGAGACCCUGGAGAACUUUGACACUAGUUGGUGUGAGGUUAAGGAUCUACGUGAGCUAAUCAAUCUUCGGAAACUAACGGUAACAGUGAGGGGUAGCUGUGAUAUUCUGGAAGAAAUGAUGAAAAACUUGGAUGAUGUAGCCUCCUCACCAUCUUCAUGUCUGAGGUUCUUGGGUGUCACUAUUGUUGAUUGUGAUAUUGAGCUGAACAAUGAUCUUACGAUCUUAAAACAAUUGGUAUAUGCUGAAAAUUUGAACCUUCGGGAUUUGAAAAUAUAUGACCUUAUCCCAGAGGUGGGUCUAAUAUUUCCGCUGCAUGUAUCCACAAUUUGUAUUACAACUUUAUAUUUAAGGGAAUCAUACCUGGCAGAAGACCCAAUGCCAAUAUUAGAAAUGCUUCCAGUGUUGAGUGUUCUCCAAAUGCGUGAGGAUACAUAUGUGGGGAAGGAGAUGGUGUGCUCCGCAACCGGUUUUCCUAAACUCACCGUUCUUAUUUUGUACAAGUUCACAAAACUUGAAAAUUGGAGGGUGGAGGAAGGAAGCAUGCCCAUCCUUUCAUACUUGAUUAUUGGAAGAUGUAACAAGUUGGAGGAGCUUCCCGAAGGCCUUGUGUUCCUCAAGUCCCUUCAUAUAGCUCAAAUGCCUCAAGAUUUCAAUGAUAGGCUUAAAAGGCAAGAUGGUGAACAACGACCCGACUUUAUGCAAAUAUGGAGUUAGCCAGAAAUUUUCUUGUUUUAUGCAAAUCCAGAAAUUUGCUCUCUACUUUUAUUCAGUUUAUGAAAUGAACAGUUUACAAGCUCCGAAAGGUAUAUCUAGUGAUUUUGUCCGCACGUUCUCGACCACUUGCAGACCGUCAAAAUCAAUACCAGGCCACAUUUAUUAUUUUCACACUAACUUUUAAGUUGUGGAGGGUCGAGAAAUCAAAAUGCAUGUAACCAGGAUAAGCCAACAAGGAUGCUGUCAACUGUUUUGUUGCAGGACCAGACUCACAACUAUUUGUCGGUGUUAACUGGCCACACUGGACCAGUCAAGUGUAUUCCAUUUCAAGGGUCUUCUGCUCACCAGUGUAGUGUUUACGAUAUGAAAGUAGACCUGCAAGCAUAAAAGCAAGCAAAUGCCAGCCUUCCUAGCAAAUAAUAACUUACAUUUUGCAAUGACUGUUUCCUAACUUUGUGAGCUCAACUGCAUAGUGACUAAGAAAAAAUCAAAGAAAUCAGUUGAUUACAGGUUCUGUUUCACUGGAGUCCAUAAUUAAGCAUAGCUGGUUGAUCUGAGGCAUUAAUCACCAUCCCCUGAAAUGCAUUUUCUUACUGCUCUGUUGGUAAUUUAUUUUAGUAGCAUUUAAUACUCGGAUUCCUGUUGAUUAUGGUUGCUACCCCUACAACUAUUGUAUAAUGUUAAUGGACAUAGAGCAUCUCCAAUGAGAUUUUUAAACAAGUUCUUAACUCUAAAUUUAUAGAGUAAGUUAAGAAUUAUUGCUCCAAUGAGCUCUAAGAAGCUCUUUAAAAAUUUAAGAGCCUACUAUCUCCUCACUUUUAAAGAGCAUGCAGUAGCUCUUAUCUUUUUAUUUGUGAAUAUAAUAUUAAUUUCCCUCCAAUCUUCUCUCUCUUUUAAUUAACUUUUCUCUCUCAUUUAUACAAAAUAAAUAUAAAAUAUGAAUAAAGAGCUACGUAUAAACAGUAGCAUUAAAGUUAUCAUGUUUUUCAAUGUAUUAAGUCACUAGGAGCCAUAAUUUAUAUUAUUGUUGAAGAAAUGAUUUAGUAGCACCAUUGGAGAUGUUCUUACUCCUUGUGAACAUAGAAUAAAUUAUUUUUUUUGUGCCAAUUCAGUUACGUAAAGAUUUGUCAGAAACAUUUUGUUACUCCACACUAUAAAUUGUCGUGGACGAAUUUUGACCCAUGACAAGUUUUCUCUUCAUAACAUUAUCACUUGGAAAGGUCCUUCAGCAAAUGACAGGAUGUCACCAAUUGCCAAAUUCAUUGCAAUUGCGAACUCUUAAAGUUUUGUUAAUUCAUGUUGGAGUGCAUAUAAGCCUGAACUGCUAUAGCUUUAAUAUACAUGAUUUCCCGACCUGAACUGCUAUGAGUGUUUCCUAGAUUUGAUGGUGAUCAGUAUGUUCAUGGACGGGGCAUCGCCGUCUCAGAGGAGAAGCGGAAGAGGAUGCGACAAUAAGAUUUAUGUGUGUAUUGUAUACUCCCUCCGUCUCAUUCAUUUGUAUACAGUUUCUUUUUCUGGACAUCCCACCAAUUGUAUACAUUCCAAAAAUAGUAAACUUUUAUAAUAUAAAACACCAUUACACCAACUAUUUUCCUCCACUAUCUCCAUUCUAUAAUAAUAUAAACACUAUUACACUCAUUACUUUCCUCCACUAUCUCAAAUCUAUUAUUAAAUAUAAAUGGUCCCACCACUAUACCUACUUUUCAUCUAACUUUACUCAUUUUUUACAUUUUUUCUUGGUCUUCGUAUCCCAACCAAAUGUAUACAAAUGGUUGGGACGAAGGGAACUAGAGCACACGUGAUAGUCAUCAAUCCAGUCAUUUUAAUUUGUUCCCCAAGCUUGGGUGGUGUGGAUGUUAAUAUAGUCUGAGAACCAUUCAUGUUUGAGCAAAGAGUUGUGUGUUAAUAUUGUCUAAGAACCAUUCGUGUUUGAGCAAAGAGUCAUUUGAGUAAAUACGAAUGAUCUCCCCUGUAGAUGUAGAAACCAUUGAAGUUAUAUAAAACUCAAGCAAAUCACAAAUGCACACACAGAUGAGACAAGCUCGUUUUAUUAAUCCGAUAAAUUGCUGCUUACAAAAUGAAAGAAACACACUCUGAUAAACUCAAGUUCAGAGUGUUGGAAAAAAAGUCCUACUUAAACAACUAGCUAAGAUGGUAAGGAUAAACAAGAACUGCUGCCUAUCGUUAAUCCACUCCUACAUGCACUCAUGAAAAACAGCUACAGCUACGGCCUAAUCUUGUGUGCACACUGAUCACAUAGCAACUUAUUUAAAAUAACUAAAUUAAAUAAAAAGCAACUGAAGUAUAUCAGAAUUUAGAUCAAACUCCAACAAGCUCCCCUAAUCUAAACUCGAUUGCAGGUUCUUCACACCCAAUAGCUCACACAUUCCCUCAAACUUAGCCCUUGACAAUGCCUUGGUCAAUACAUCAGCUCUCUGUUCAUUUGUGUUGACAUGUACUUUGAGUAUAAUUUCACCACAUUCUACACAUUCCCAUAUAAAGUGGUAGCGAAUAUCUAUGUGUUUACUCCUUCAUGAAACACUGGAUUCUUUGCCAAAUCUAUUGCCCACUUGUUAUCAAUAUACAGCACCACAGGACCAGCCUUUAUAUUCGUCAUCCGUCUGAGAAGUUUAUAAAGCCAUAUGCCUUGACACACAGCUGCAUUGUUUUUGACAUUGCCAUACCUCUAGUAGACCUCUUGUCAUCCACAUUUCCAACUAGGUCGCUGUUUGAAUAUCCUGAGAGCAAGUAGUUUCCAUCCCGUUUAGAAUAAACCAACCCAUAAUCAAGAGUUCCAUUCACAUAACGAAAAAUUCGUUUUGCUGCAGCUAGGUGCAUGACUAUGGGUCUCUCCAUGAACCUGCUUACUAUGCCAACUGAAUAAGCUAUAUCAGGUCUUGUAAAUACAAGAUGCCUGAGUCCUCCAACCAUACUUUUAAGGCUUAAUGACCUUUUAGCCCUCGAAGUAUGAAUGGAAGUUCCGAUGCGGUCUUGAAGUUUAAAAACGUACAAUUCGACCCUCAAAGUAUUUUUGUCGUACCUUUUAGCCCUUUUUAAAAAUACCGGCAUAAAUCGGGGGAUAACUUGAAAAAUAGGCAAGAGCAUAACCCAUCAGCACACCAAGAAUUCCUACUAAUUCUCAUUUUAAGCCGACCCUUGAACAUAUAUAAACCAUGUAGGCAAGUAUUCCUUAAUUAAAGAAUGAAUAAAACUUUCUCCAUCUGUUAUCUAAACUAUUGAAGCCACCAGCGAAGUUGCAACCUUGACAUGUGCCAUUGCUGCAGCAAAAGAAACCUGAUUAUAUCGCAUUCCGUAUUUUACUUUUUUCAGCUUCUCUAGUUAUUCUGUAGGCAAUCCCUUAGUUGCAAUUUCGCUAACAGUAUCCAGCAGCUGGGUAACUAUUUCUUUUGAGAUGAAUAUAACAUUCCCGACAGAUCGGUGGACACGUAGGUAAAGUAUUCCAUUCAUUAUUGUUUUUCCAUGUCAGACAUACCAAUCAUUGCCAUCUGUCAGCAAGGUGGAUGUUGUUGAGGUUAAAUUUUUCAACUUAACGUUUGCUGUUAGUUUUUUCUAAAAAAGCUAAUAGAAUGAUAUAUAACUAGGGGUGUAAAUGAGUCGGGCCGAGCCGAACUCUAGAGUGCUCGUGUAUCGUUUGUUAAAAAAUUAGCGAACUCGAACUCGAGCUCGUACUUAGAUCGAGCCAAAAAUAUUGUUUGAGGAUCGACUCAUUAAGGAAUAACUCUGUUCACGAACGGCUCGUGAACUGCUCACAAACAUGUCUCACGAGCUUUUGCUCACGAACUGCUCAUUAACUUAUGCUCACGAACAUGUCUCAUGAAUUUUUGCUCACAACCGCUCAUUAAUUUUGUUCACGAGCUUGUUUAAUAAACUUUGCUAACAAGCUAGCUUAUGCUUAUAAAUUUUUAUGAGCUUGUUUGUUAUUUAACUUAAUUAAAAUAAAUAAAUUAAAAUUCUAACAAUAUUUUAAUUUAUGCUCUAAGGAAACAUAAAUUCAUAAUAAAUCAUGUUUACGAGCUAGUUCACGAACUACGCUCACGAGCCAAAUUCACAAACCAUGUUUACGAACUCAUUAUUCGAACUUGUUCACGAACUAUCGAGUCGAACUCUACAGUGCUCAAGUUCAGCUCGUUUAUAUAACGAAACCUAAAAUUGUGCUCAGGAUCGACUCGUUUAUGAAUCGAACCGAGUUCGAACCGAGUUUUUUUCGAACCGAACACCGAGCGGUUAUCGAGCGUAUCAACUCAUUUACAGCCCUUAAUAUAACAGUAUUUUAGUGGGUUAUAUGAGUCGCCGUGGAGAUCGGGUAGCUACUUGAUAUAUUUUGCUGAGUUCGGUGGGCAAUCUGAUAUAAAACCCAAAACCAAACCAAAUUAAUACUAAAUUUGAUAUUUGAUAUAAUAUAUGAUUUUGGUUCAUAAACCCGUCCAAAUCCAUAUUAAUCAACUAAAAUUGGUCCAAAACCUGAGAGGUCUACUUACUCUCUCGACACAAUUGGUAUAUGAUGAAAAUUUGAACCUUCGGGAAUUGAAAAUAUAUGGGCAUAUACCAGAGGUGGAUCUAAUAUUUCCGCUGCAAUAUGUUGGGGAUAGUAAUGCUCAUGUAUCUAAAGUUCAUAUUACAAGAUUAUAUUUAUCGAUUUCAUACCUGGAAGAAGACCCAAUGCCAAUACAAUACUGGAAAUGCUUCCAAUGUUGGGUGUUCUCUGUUUGUUUACCGAUACAUAUAUGGGGAAGGAGAUGGUGAGCUCUGCAACCGGUUUUCCUAAACUCACCCACCUUUUUCUGGACAGCUUACCGAAUCUUGAUAAAUGGAGGGUGGAGAAAGGAAGCAUGCCCAUCCUUUCAUACUUGCGUAUUCAAAGAUGUAACAAGUUGGAGGAGCUUCCAGAAGGCCUGGUGUUCCUCAAGUCUACGGGUGUGCACGGGUCGGUUCGGCUCGGUUUCUACCUAAAACCGUUACCGAACCGUGUAUUUCGGUUCGGUUCGGUUUUAGGGUAGAAACCGUAACCGAACCGUUUCAAACGGUUUUUUUCGGUUCGGUUAACCGUGGUCGGUUUCGGUUAUAAUAUUUGUUAUUUUAUCAUAUAUUCAUAUAUAGUUUUAAUUUAAUUAAUUUUAUCGUAAAAAUAAAAUUAUGAUAGAAUAAUGUGGUUAAAUAAAUUUUUAUUUAACAGUUGAAUAAAUUCUUAAUACUUAUGACUAAUUAAAAAUUAGGUCGAACAUAUAUUUUGAUGAGAAUGUUAAAUAUAUUUAUUUACAUGUUAUAAUUUAAGGAGAUCUAUAAGCCCAUAUAUAAAUCAACAACCUCAUAAUAUUUCGUUAGUAAUAAUUAAAAAUAUAGUAUAAAACAUAUUAGAAGUCAAAGAGACGCGUAAUCCCAAAUAUCGAUCCAUUACCUAAUUUUUAAUGUUUUGAUUCGAUAGAUAAUAAUAAAAUAUUAUAACAUAUUAUAAAUUAAUGAGGUCCGUGGGUUGAAUACCAAUGGUCUCACCAAACUCGAUUGAUCGACCGACCAACUAACCAAUUGAACUUUUCAUUUUUCGGCUUUUGGCUUUAACAGUAUAAUAAUAUAUAGUAUAGUAUAAAUUUAUAAUAUCACUUUUAAUGUGAGACCGUUAGAGUAUUUAAAUAUAAUGUUAAUUAAUUUCGGUUGAAAAAUAUCACCUGUUAUUUAUUAAUAAAUAUAUAUAAUAAUAUUAUGUUUUUAUACAUAUGUCGCCUGUGUUAAUUGUAGAAAAACGAUUUUUUAGUUUGAAAAAAAUAUUUAUCUUGAACUUUAAAUCUUUAAAAUUAAAAAAAAAACAUUUUUUUCAACGGAGAAGUUGUGUUUGUUGAAUUACAUUUAGUUUCAAAUUGCAAAAAUACUUUCUUAAAAAUUUUAAAAAGAUUGUAUAUUAUCGAAAAAGAACUCUAAACAUGUGUUAUAUCCUUAAAUUCUAUACUCUCUGGCGCAGAAAAAUAAAUUAUAUUCGAAACAGAUUAUUAAUUUGAACUUAAAGUAGCAGAGAGGUGUUUCGGUGAAAACCCCCGCUUAGUGCACAAUAAAAUAAAUACACAGUGUGUGAUAUAAUAAGAAUAUAAUAUCUUAGCCAUGUCCUUCUUCACACAGUACUUACCUAAACAGUUCCUAAUGCAUCUGUGAAGUGAGGACUUACCUAAACAGUUCCUAUUAUCACGAAUGCAUCAUGAACUGAGCUAACCCUUCCCUUAAAACAUAAUGCAACGAACCUCGCAAUGUCUGUAAGCCACGAGACCUGGUCUCAACUAUUCUAAUAAGUCGUCCCCAAUCAUUCUUAUCUAAUGUCAUAUCACCCGUUCCCGAUCAUUCUUAUCUAAUGUCAUAUCAUCCGUGAGAUUCAAGGCUCUCAUGUCCAAACUUAAUUGAUCAGCCCAUGUCCGACGAGACUCACUUCUCUUUCUCUAGUCAUUCAUUAUUCUUGAGGUGAACAACAUUUAAAAAAAUUCAGAGCCGAGGUAUUCUUACACAGCAAAAUAUCGAUUUAUGAUAAUGUUGGACAGCAGAAAAUGAAAAGGAAGUAAUAUUUCACUAACCAUAUGUGAUAUCCAAUCCCAACAUUGAAAAUUGCUCACUCGAGAGAGACUGUUUUAGUAUCUCAUUAAUUAUUCUCGAAAUGGACAAGUGUUAAAGGAAUCCCGGAGCCACAAAUAUAACCACCUAACGACAGAAUAUUAAUUUAUGAUAGUACUGGACAGCAGAAAAUCAGAGGAAGUAAUUUUUCACUAGCCAAUAUGUGAUAUAUUUUCAUGCCGCCAACACAACAGAGUACAUUGUUGCCCAAAGGUUGCAACAACACACAAAACUAGGAAACUUCAAAAUCUUGACUCCUGCCCAUUGUUCAAACUUUUUCUUUGUGAUCUUUUUUUAUAAUGAAACACUUUUGUUUUUUUUCCUUUAUAGUUAAAACUACAAUAUAUACAGCGUUUAGGACUGGGAAACUGCUUUCUUCAAGACGCUGAAGGUGACAAGCAUAAGCAGUGAUAUCAUGAUCUUCUUUGAAGCAAGUAUCCGCAAGUUCACCUUCAUGCCAUGGUAACUCAUGAGCUUCAGUGUUGCUCUAAUUACUGACAUAAGCCAAGAUACAACGGACAAGAACACCACUUUCAUUGUGUCUGCAGGUCCAUUCACACUUCUUGUGCCUCCCGACACCUCGACACAGGACCAAGCAGCGCCUUGAUUAUCGGUGGUUCCACUAUGAUUGAGGCCAAGUUUCUCGUUCAACCAACAUGAUAAAGUCACAAGCAGCUUUGCAAGCCAUGCAAUCUCAUCACUGGAGACUGGUCGCAUCAACCAGUCACCCCUGUAUUUCUUACCAGUUUGCUUCUUGUUUCGUAUCAAACUGUUAGUAUUUUACAGACUCUAAGAUGUAAUGUCUGAAGAGUUUUCUAGAUCCAUUUUGAGGAUCAUACAUCUGUACUAUAAAAGAAAGAUCAUGUAAUGCAUUUCAUAAGAUGAAAUCAGUUCAAUAAAAUCUUUUUUAGUAAUCAUAUACUUUCAAUUACAACAGGUGGUAUCAAGAGCACAAGUCUAUCCAUUUCGGCACAAACAUUCUCUACACUAUGACAACAUUCAGCACUAUCUCUGCAGAGUCAUAAAAAAUAUCAAAUAGAUACUUUCUAAUAUCUUUUCGAGAAGUAAACUUUGUUUUUCAUUGAGUUUCACACAUUUUUCUUGGCUGUUAGUAUAAUCAACUAAAAGGCUAUGAAUUCUAGUAUUUUUUUAUAAUAUAUUCAGAUUUUAAGAAAUUUAUUUACUAUUUAUUUUUAAUUUUACAACUAUUUUGUUUCAUUUAUAUCAAAUAAAUAAUAAAUAAAUUUCUUAAAAUCUAAAUAUAUUAUCAUAAAUACUACUCCCUCCGUCCCUCCCAUUUCUUUACACUUUCCCUUUUGGGAUGUCCCAUCCAUUUCUUUACAUUUCAAAACUUAUCCAAAAUAGUCAAUUGGUCCCACCACUUCUUCACUUUUCUUUCCUUUUCACACUACUUUUACUCCACUAUCUUCUUUUUAUACAUUAAAAAUCAAUGGGUCCCACCACUUCACCCACUUUUCUUUCUCUUUUCCACUACUUUAUACAUAUUUCUUAACCUCCGUGCCCAACCCAAACAAUAAGAAAUGGGAGGGACGGGAGGAGUAUAAUUCAUAGCCUUUCAUUUGAUUAUACUAACAGCCAAGAAAAAUGUGUGGAACUCAAUGGAGAAUAAAGUUUACUUUUUGAACGGAUAUUAGAAGUAUCUAUUUGAUAUUUCUUAUGACUUUAAUGAUUCAAAUGAGACCAAAAAUUUCCAAGUGAUCCACCUGAUAUUUUCUAGUGCAAAAAGUGACCUAGUUGAUAAUUAACCCAAAUGAAAACUGCCUUACGAGCUUAUGACUUGUGGGAUCUUGUCGAGAAUGAGUUCCAAAAUCUGCAGAUCCUCAAGCUUCCCCACAAUCAUCCAGGUCAUCGACAAUUUCAGUGAAUGAAUCGCUCAAAAGGAACGCAGAUGCACUAGCAAAAACAACAAGCCGUUGCUGAUUAUAUUUUUCCCAGAAUCAUGAAUACUACUUCUGCAAAACAAGCUUGGGAGACAUUACAAGAUGAAUAAAUUCCAAGGCACUGCAAAAGUUUGAACAAUCAAACUUCAAAGCCUGCGAAGAGAAUUUGAGAAUAUCCGAAUGAAAGACACGAGUUAUUGGAGUUGUGAAUCAGAUGGAAGACCUUUGGCGACAACAUUUCAGAUCAAAGAGUCAUUAAAAAAUUGUUAAUUUCUCUCACAAAUAAGUAUGAUUCUAUUGUUGAAAUUAUAGGAGAAUCAAAAGACAUCUCUAUACUUUCUAUCACUGAACUUGUUGGUUCAUUACAAGUAACAAGCUCAUGAAUAACAAAUCUCUCGGCGAAUGUCGAAGGUGCUUUACAGUCACAACCUAGGAAGCAUGAGUGCAGGUGCGGGUACUGGGGUGCACAAUACGGGGAUACGGGAAUUCGGCAAAUUUAAAAAUAUGGGGAUUCGGGUGCGGGGGAUUCGGCAAUUAUUAAUAUAUUAAAAAUAUAUUUUAUACAUGUAUUUGAAGAGUUAUAUUCAUAUUUAAACUAAAUAAAUGAAUAAAUAAGUUCAAUAUCCUUAACAAUAUACAAUAUAAUUAUUUAAUAACACAAUUAUUGCAUUAUAAUGUAGUUAAGUGAUAGAGUAUUCAAUUAAUCACAGAAUUAAUCAUUAAAAAGAAUCCCUAAGAAUCACCGAAUAUCGAAGAAUCCCAAAAAUCGAGUGUGCGGUGCGGCGAGUGAGUGAAGUAUCCCUGCUUUUUAGGUCACAACACAAAAACUGGCCUCCAUCCAAAGGUUGAAAAUUUAGUAAAGGAAAAAAUGUUAGCAACAGCUUCAAGGAAGAUGCAAGGAAAUCUAAAUUCUACUGCAAAUUGUACAAGACUGUCGUAGUGCUAGUUAAUCCAAAGGCAAAACACCUUAGAUCUAGGAAGUACCGGAAGUACGGUACGCAAAUACGGGGAUUCGGGAAAAUGAGGAUACAGGUAUGGGGAUACGACAUACAUAAAAAAUAUUUGUAUUAUAUAUAUUAUAUAUUUAUUUAUAUAUAGCAAAACUAAAACUAACAUUCAAAUUAAAUCAAAGUACAUAAAAAUCAGCCACCAAGUCACCAACUAUAUACACAUAACCUCACACAUAAAUAUUAUCUAUAUUUUAACCAUAAACUCAUAAUUAAGAAAAUUAUGAGUCAAAGCAGGGAAGAACUUACCAAAGACGUAAAGAGGAUGGAAGAACUGGGAAGGGAAAUGGUUGAACAUUGUGCCGGUCUUCCGCUAGCUAUAGUCGUUUUGGGUGGAAUUCUUGUAACAAAACCGUCGUUGAUAGAGUGGGAGAAGGUAUAUCGUGAUAGUAAAUCAUCCCUCAAGGCGGGGAGAGGAUUGGAAGAAGCCUAUCAAAGGGAAAUAUUAAGUUUUUUAGUUUGGAGCUACAAUGAUUUACCCCCUCAGUUGAAGCCAUGCUUUUUAUAUUUAUCUAAGUUUGGUGAUAAUAAAUAUAUAGAAGUGGGGACUUUGUAUCAGCUGUGGAUCGCCGAAGGAAUGAUACUCUCGAGUGACAAAAGGGAAGGAGAAACAAUGAUUCAAGUGGCUGAAUCAUACAUGGGAGAACUAGUCCACAGGAGUAUGGUUCAAGUGAGAUUUAACAAUGUGAAAUCAUCACCUACAAAGUUUGAAGAUUGUUCUCUGCAUGACCUUAUGCGAGAUAUGUCUUUAAUACAAGCAAAAGCAGAAGAUUUUUUUGAAGAUAUACAUUCCAAAGUGCAAAUGAGUUUCAUCUCAAAUCUACUGCAGAUUCAAGAAACACAACUCGACUUGUGAUUAAUUUGGAUGAGGAAUAUUCUAGGAAAAAAGUUAAUUACUACUUCUCCAAGAAACGCGAUAAAAAAUGCUAUCGAUCAAUUUUACUCCUCGGUCAGUUUGGAGCGAGAAGUUUGCCACGGUCGCUCGGGUCACAUGUUGCCAAUUUUAGGUUCCUAAAAGUGUUUUCAGUGGAGAAAUAUACCAAUUUUUCUGGUGCAUUUUCCCAUAUUAAUUUUGGAAGAGCAUUAGGGGCCCUUGUUUACUUGCGAUAUCUUAGUGUAAGGGGCACUAAUUUGUUGGUUUUUCCUUCUAUACAAAAGUUGGUACUGUUACAAACUCUUAGAUUGCAUACAUGCGAUGAUAUGUAUGCUUUACCAUGGUUGUCAAGAGAUGUUCUGGUGAAGCUCGAUUGUUUGCGGCACCUGUAUUUGCCUAAAUUUAAAGUUGACGUUUUGGUAAGGAAAUCGAAAUUACGGUUUAAUGGGUUGAGCAAGUUAGAGACCCUGGAGAACUUUGACACUACUUGGUGUGAGGUUAAGGAUCUACGUGAACUAAUCAAUCUUCGGAAACUAAUGGUAACAGUGAGAGGUAGCUGUGAUAUUCUGGAAGAAAUGAUGAAAAACUUGGAUGAUAUAGCCUCCUCACCAUCUUCAUGUCUGAGCUACUUGGGUGUUGCUAUUAGUAAUUGUCAUCUCGAGCUGAACAAUGGUCUUACUAUCUUAAAACAAUUGGUAUAUGCUGAAAAUUUGAACCUUCGGGAUUUGAAAAUAUAUGGGCGUAUCCCAGAGGUGGGUCUAAUAUUUCCGCUUCAAUAUGUAUCUACAAUUGGUAUUACAAGUUUAACUUUAGCGAGUUCAUGCCUAGAAGAAGACCCGAUGCCAAUACUGGAAAUGCUUCCAAUGUUGGGUGUUCUCUGUUUGUUUAAGGAUACAUAUGUGGGGAAGGAGAUGGUGUGCUCCGCAACCUGUUUUCCUAAACUCACCUCUCUUUAUUUGCAAGAGUUCCCAAACCUUGAAAAAUGGAGGGUGGAGAAAGGAAGCAUGCCCAUGCUUUCAUACUUGCGUAUUGAAAGAUGUAACAAGUUGGAGGAGCUUCCCGAAGGCCUAGUGUUCCUCAAGUCCCUUCAAGUACUAGAUAUAUUUCAUAUGCUUCAAGAUUUUAAUGAUAGGCUUAAAAGGCAUGAUGGUGAAGAGGGACCCGACUUUCACAAAAUUUCUCAUGUCGAUAGACUCAUUAUUGACGAUCAGGAGUUAAAUUGAAUGUUCUUGCAAGCUUAUUAUUCCACAAAAUUAUUAGUUCACUUAUAAGGCUAUAAGCCAUAUUUGUCAAAAAAAACAAAAAAAAACUACUCCUUUAGAAAACGGCUCAGCGUUCUCAGGUUCAUAUUCACACCAUAUUCUCUUGUGAACUAGGGGCACAAUUUUCAUCAUUUUCUUUGUCUUACAAGCAUGCAAUCUAGUCAUUUGAAAUUGAUCACUUUAAAGACCAUCCUUGUGUCUCGUUCAUUUUCCUUGAGGUGAACAAGAGUUGAACAUAUUCGGAAGCAAUAAAUAUAACAGUCUUAUAACAGAAUAUCGAUUUAUGAUAAUGUUAGACUGCAGAAAAUGAGAGGAAGUAAUUUUUCACUGACCAAUAUGUAAUAUGUUUUCAUGCUAUUGCGGCCAACACAACAGAGUACAUUGUUUCCCACAUGUUGCAACAAAACACCAAAACUAGGAGACUUCUAACUCUUGACUCCACCCAUUGUUCAAACUUUUUCUUUGUGAUCUUUUUUUAUAAUGAAACACUUUUGUAUUUUUUUCCUUUAUAGUUAAAACUACGAUAUAUACAGCGUUUAGGACUGGGAAACUGCUUUCUUCAAGACGCUGAAGGCAACGAGCAUAAGCAGUGAUAUCAUGAUCUUCUUUGAAGCAAGAAUCCGCAAGUUCACCUUCAUGCCAUGGUCUCUCAUGAGCUUCACUGUUGCCCUAAUUACUGAAAUAAGCCAGAAUACAACGGACAAGAACACCACUUUCAUUGUGUCUGCAGGUCCAUUCACACUUCUUGUGCCUCCCGACACCUCGACAUAGGACCAAGCAGCGCCUUGAUUAUCGGUAGUUCCACUAUGAUUGAGGCCAAGUUUCUCGUUCAACCAACAUGAUAAAGUCACAAGCAGCUUUGCAAGCCAUGCAAUCUCAUCACUGGAGACUGGUCGCUUCAACCAGUCACCCCUGUAUUUCGUACCGGUUUGCUUCUUGUUGCGUAUCAUUCUAGGACUAAAUAUCUCAUCACGUGGAUGCUGAUUUUCUCUUGUCUCGGGGACUGCUUGUGUGUUCCUUGGAGUAGAGUUACCAAAUAAGCACCCCAUCUGGGCUUUGAUAGAAUCUAAACAAGCCAUAUUGUGAGCAUGAUUAUCUCCCAAGACGGUCUGCAGCUCCGACUCAGCACGCAGCACAAAGAGCUGCAAUUACAAUGUGAGUAGUGAGUGAGACUUGAGAUUUAGAAUGAUGUCAAUAUGCUUAAGACCUGCACAAGAAAUACAAGAAACAUAUACAAAAUAAGUAAACGGAAACUAUAACGAAUUGAUCCUGGGAUAAAAAUAUAUACUAAUUAUAAAAGAAAAUUUCCCCACUGUUACCCUGACUCUUCAUUUUGCCUCAAGUACACGUGUCGGACACUCAACACUUGAACAUCGGACACUCAACACUUGAACAUAGGUACAGACACUACAGAACUUAUUUUAGGCCAAAAACAUGUAAAUUUUCAGAAUACUACCGAGACACACUCGGACAGGUAACCAUGUUGGACACUUUUAGCUGACUCCAGGUAAUAUAGAUUCUUCAUAUGUAAGCUUACCAGAAGUAUCCCAUCAGUGCCCAUAAAUGAAAAGAAGCCGAAAGAAACUAUAAAAGAGGAAUAUAGCAGAUUAUUAUUAAUUAGUAGCCUUGCAUCAGUUUCCUCUAUAAUUCAACACAAGUAGCUUACGCGGAUAAAGACAUUCUUACCAGAUGCUGACGCAAGGAUUGAUGUAGAAAGAAUCCGGAUUUUGCUCCGGGAUGUACGAGAGCUUGCCUAUGAUGCUGAACAUGUUGUCGAAACUUUUGUUAUUAAAGCCUCAUCCACUAAAAAACCAUUUCAGCGGAUGAACAGAGUCAAGUUUUCAAGAAAGAUGAAAAAUAUACAGAAAAAGAUGUCCCUCCUCUUCAAUUUAUUUUCUGAUUAUAAUAUCAUACCAACUUCUGAAUCAAC